GAUGAACGCUGGCGGCGUGCCUAAUACAUGCAAGUCGAGCGAACGGACGAGAAGCUUGCUUUUCUGAUGUUAGCGGCGGACGGGUGAGUAACACGUGGAUAACCUACCUAUAAGACUGGGAUAACUUCGGGAAACCGGAGCUAAUACCGGAUAAUAUUUUGAACCGCAUGGUUCAAAAGUGAAAGACGGUCUUGCUGUCACUUAUAGAUGGAUCCGCGCUGCAUUAGCUAGUUGGUAAGGUAACGGCUUACCAAGGCAACGAUGCAUAGCCGACCUGAGAGGGUGAUAGGCCACAAUGGAACUGAGACACGGUCCAGACUCCUACGGGAGGCAGCAGUAGGGAAUCUUCCGCAAUGGGAGAAAGCAUGACGGAGCAAAGCCGCGUGAGUGAUGAAGGUCUUCGGAUCGUAAAACUCUGUUAUUAGGGAAGAACAUAUGUGUAAGUAACUGUGCACAUCUUGACGGUACCUAAUCAGAAAGCCACGGCUAACUACGUG
rnacentral:rRNA from 1 species